rnacentral:lncRNA from 1 species
AGCUCUCCCUGCCCGUGUCAGCGCGACUCAGCGGAGGCAACGCCCGGCUCCCGGCCGAAACAACUGCCUCCAGGCCUAGCGCGUUGCGCGGCAGCUUGGUGACCCUCCUGCGGCUGGAGCGGACCGCCACCCCAUCGCUGCCUCGUCUGCCCUUCCCGAGGCCUCCCCAGGCAGGGCCCGCAGCCGCGGCGGUCCCGGCACUCACUGUUGUGCAGCCAGCUAGUGAACGUGAGCGAGCAGUUCUGGACGUCGAAGGGGAAGUUGUAGAUAUCCAGGCUGCAGGCAGUCAUCACCUGGAUGGGUUUGAGGUUCCACACUUCUCCGUGGUGGUGAACGUAGACGUAGGGGAUGUCAGGGGACUUUCCGACGUCCACGCUGAGGGGCGCAGGCAACAGAGACCCGGGCUAGGGAGUGCCCUGGCCACGGCUCCGAGCAGAACCGGCCCCUCUGGGGAGCCGUGCUUGGGACAGUCGUGGCCCGGGAGGCGGGAAGCCGCCGUGCUACUCUGCUAAUCGUUUCUGGGAACAACUGGAGGCUGGAGGAAGGGUCGGGAAGCGAGCGCUCCCCUCCGUGGCAGCACGCCCAGCUCGGCGCAGCACGGUGCUCCCCACGCUGCCGCCCUCUCUGAGACCAGCCCAGGGAGCGCGUGCGCCUUUGCCUUCUGGGGCUACCAGUGGUUUUAAGGGUGGCCGCGGCGCGAGACUGUGACAAUACCUCAGAGGCUAGCAGGAGCAGGGGGAGGGGAAGGACAAUGGCUUGCUUUGCGGGAAGGGCUGGCGGCUCUGCAGCUGCCCUUGCAUUGUGCUUCCCUAACAAAGCCUUUCUCCAAAUAUCUGAAUUCCACCCCCGGCACACUGUGGGUAAUUACAAAUGUUUAUGGUUAGCCAGCAUUGGAAAUGGCCCAGCUCCCAAGCCGUUCCCCCAUCUGCAGCCUACCGGAUGCGGGGCUCCUGCCAGCUCUGUGCCGGGAAUACAAAGCGAGAGGUGAAGGGCGUGCGCGUGCUCUCGUUGGGAGAGGGCACUUAAAUCCCCAGCCUUUCUCUCACGCUCCCGUGCGCGAGGGCGAGGAGAACCCAAGAGUUCUGCUGCACUUACAACUCGCUGAUGAGGAUGUCGGGCACCCAGAUGCUCUCGGUGGGGAGGGAGAUCUGCGUGACGUUGUCAAAGUGCGCUGGGUCCCACUGAAGAAACUCGUCGAUCCAGUGCUGCGGGGGCAAGGCAAAAGGGGGCUCAGAGAUCGAGGUCGGUUCCAGCCCUUUCCAGAUCCAAACGCUGUGCCAGCACCCUGCCACAGAAAUGACUUUCCAGAGCCGUGCGGCAGAGGAAGCGAAGGCUGCUCCUCCUUAUCACGCUUAGAGGAAACCAGUCCUUGCAAGGAAGUGACAAACGCGAUGGCAAACUUGCAAUUCAUCGAUGACAACAUUUGGAGCCCAGAUAACGCUGAGCAGCAGCGAAAUCUCCCUCAUCCCGUCCAGAGGCUGAAAUUCC